UACGUAGGGGGCUAGCGUUGUCCGGAAUCAUUGGGCGUAAAGCGCGUGUAGGCGGUCCGGUAAGUCCGCUGUGAAAGUCGGGGGCUCAACCCUCAAAAGCCGGUGGAAACUGUCGGGCUAGAGUGCGGAAGAGGAGAGUGGAAUUCCUGGUGUAGCGGUGAAAUGCGCAGAUAUCAGGAGGAACACCGGUGGCGAAGGCGGCCCUCUGGACGGUGACUGACGCUGAGGCACGAAGGCCAGGGGAGCAAACGGG
rnacentral:rRNA from 1 species